UGGAGAUUGGCCCGCGGCCCAUUAGCUUGUUGGCGGGGUAACAGCCCACCAAGGCGACGAUGGGUAGCCGGCCUGAGAGGGUGUCCGGCCACACUGGGAUUGAGAUACGGCCCAGACUCCUUCGGGAGGCAGCAGUCGAGAAUCUUCCCCAAUGGGCGAAAGCCUGAGGGAGCGACGCCGCGUGAGGGAUGAAGGCCCUUUGGGUUGUAAACCUCUGUUAGGGGGAAAGAACAGCAGUGGGAGCAAUAUGUCCAUUGCCUGACGUUACCCCCAGAGAAAGCUCCGGCCAACUCCGUGCCAGCAGCCGCGGUAAUACGGGGGGAGCAAGCGUUGUCCGGAAUCAUUGGGCGUAAAGGGCGUGUAGGCGGUUUGGCAAGUCGAAUGUGAAAUCCCACGGCUCAACCGUGGAACUGCGUUCGAAACUGCCUUACUUGAGUGCGGGAGAGGUGUGCGGAAUUCCUGGUGUAGCGGUGGAAUGCGUAGAUAUCAGGAAGAACACCGGUGGCGAAGGCGGCACACUGGCCCAGCACUGACGCUGAGGCGCGAAAGCGUGGGGAGCGAACGGGAUUAGAUACCCCGGUAGUCCACGCUGUAAACUUUGGGCACUAGGUAUUGGAGGUCUCAACCCCUUCAGUGCCGUAGCUAACGCG
rnacentral:rRNA from 1 species